ensembl:lncRNA
AUGGCAAGAUAUAUUUUUUGGGAAAGAGAUAAAAACAGUGGAAACACGGAUUAUGUUACAACUAGUGUAGGAGUAGCUGGUAUGUCUAAAAGAAACACUUAUUUCAAAGGAAUACAGAAAAAUGUUGUAAAAUUCAGCCCUGGCUACCAAAUGGUAAAGAUAAAGUCUGGGAAUGCUAAGAAUAUCAUGGGAAAUUCUGAGAACCAGGGUACAUUUUACCAUCUCUCAUUGUGUUUUCUGGUAAGACUAAGGGCCAAGGUCAUGAUUUGCAGAAACUGCAGUAAGUAAAUACGGUAGCUUGCUCAGUAUGUCUGGGCAGGGAGGGGACACCAUAAGUGCUCUUCACCCAGUCUGGGCUCUUGUGUAGCAUAGAAAGGAUCAGAAGUUACAGCUUCCUGUAAGAGAAGGGAUGGUUUAAGCACUGGGGAACUUUUAGAGGGGCUCCUUUAGGUGCAAGUAAAGUGACCCGAAAUAGAGGAGUUGAUGGACAGGUCUCUCAAGACUCACACAAUUAUUUUGGUGGGUGAAAUAUAGUGAUGAUAACUGGAGAGAGGCCUACUCAGCCAUGAAAGAUGCUGGCCUCACAGGAACAUGGCCUGGCUGAGCAAACACAUCUAGAGCUACAAAAACCAAGGUUUGAGCAGCAGCACAGGGAGGAUGCCUUAGUUAAGACUGGGUAAACCAGAUUUUAGCAGACAUAGCAGAUAGUGAGGAUCAAAGACCUGGUACAGAAGAGAGGAGCCCAAGACGUUCUAUGAGACCCAAGACGCCUUCCUUCAUCCUGAUAUCAGGAGGAUAAGAAGAUUUUCCUAUAGCCAUCUGGGCAAUCAAGAGGGGAGAAGUUGGGAGGAACACGUCAGUAAACUAUUUACCCAAUAGAGAUGAUUUGAACUGAAAUAACCUGGGAGACUGCUAAGUUUACAUCUCCCUCACCCUCUGGGUCUUAGUGUAGGGAAGUGGUAGCUGAUGAGGAGGAAUUGAAUUAGCUAGAGAAAACAGCUUUUGCUUGUGUGGGAAUUUUGAUGUCUUCUUCAUUUCUGAAGAAGACAUUCAAUCUUUCAAAUUCACAAAUUACUUUUUGGCCUCAUCAGUUUUGCUGUUGAUGCUCUCUAUCACAUUUAAAAGUGUCUGCAGUGGGACGAAUUCUGGAGAAUUCUAUUCUAACAUCUUGCUGAUGUUUUUCUGACCAUCUUUUGCCAUCAGAUGUGCCUGUCACAGUCUCCACCAGGAACUUUAUCGUACUACAGAGUCCAGAUGCAUUAAGGCUGUGUUUGGGCCAUGAUCUUCCUCUAGAGAAGAAAUGAAGAAGACAUUUAUAUUCUUUUUGGAUAUAGCUUUGUGAGUUGGUAGUUUAAUUAUUGCUUUUACUUCAUCACUUUUUAUAUAUCAUCCCACUCUCUCUUGGCCUAUAAGAUCUCUUCUGAGAAAUUUUCUGCUCUACUUACUGGAACUUCAUUAAAUAUUAUUUGCAUACUUUUUCUCAUUGCUUUCAGGAUUUUCUCCUUGUUGCUUGUUUUUGAUAGCUUGUCUAUAACAUGUUUUGGUAUAGUCUUGUUCGAACUGAAUUUGAUUGGAGGGCUUUGACCUUCUUAUACCUGUACUAUUUACAUUCCUCUCCAAAAUUUGGAAAGUUUUCUGCUUUUAUUUCUUUAAGUAAGGUUUUGAUGCUGUCUUUUUUCUCAUUUACAUAUUCUUAUUACUUUAACACUUGCCCUUCUGAUGCUGUCCUGUAAAUUCCAUAAGCUUUUAAAAUAUUUUUUCAUUCUUUUUUCUUUUUUCUCCUCUAACUCUAUAUUUUCAAUCAAUCUUUCAGAUUCACAAAUUCUUUCUUUUGCUUGAUCAGUUCUGCUGCUGAUGCUCUCUAUUGCAUUUUAAAAUUUUAUUCAUUGUAUCUUUCAGCUUCAGAAUUUCUGUUUAAUUAAAAAAAAUAAUUUUAUCUUUCUGUUAAAUAUCUUAUUUUGGUCAUUUACUGUUUUUCUAAUUUCAGUUAAUCGUUUCUCUGAUUUGUUUCAGAUUAUUAAGUUUUCUUAAAACAAUUAUUUUUAGUUAUCUAUCAGGCAAUUUGUUUAUCUUCAUUUCUUUGGGAGUCAAUUAUUGUGAGAUUAUUGUGUUCUUUUGGUGGUGUUAUAUCUUCUUGUUUUUUUAUAUUUAUUGUUACUGUAUGUUGAUGUUUGCACUUUUGGAAGAAGUAGGGACUUAUUUCAGUGUUUGAAGAGUAGUUUUGUCUGAGAAAGCCCUUUACCAAUCAGCCUGUCCAGAGAUCCUGGACAGCCUGUCUGGUGUAGUCCAAAGGUGGGUUUACUGCUGGAGUCCUCAGGCAGGCUGACCUCGAGCCUGAGUCAGCAGGUGGGUGGCCUGGUGUCUGAGUCUGCAGGACUGAGAUUGAAGCCUGGAUCCACUAAAGUGGACCUGGACCUGUUAAUUGAGUGUGUGGGGAUGGUCCUGGACGCUGGGUUCGCAGGGACUAAGUUGGUGCAAGGAUGGGUCUUAAUUCUGAGUCUGC